AGGGGAAUGCUGGUAUUGAUUUUGGGGGUAAUUGCCUCAAAAUUUUAGGAAUUAGGGGCCAAAAAAGGGGCAAAAACAAGCAUUUUUCUAGUUUCAUGACAAUCACUUGUGUGUAAGUGUAUGGAUCUUUCUGAAAUUGUUCUACAAGGUUCCAUAUCACAAAGGGAAAGCUGGAAUUGAGUUUGGGGGUUAUUGCCCAAACCGUUUAGGAAUAAGGGGCCAAAAAGGGGCCAAAAAUAAGCAUUUUUCUAGUUUCCAGACAAUAACGUGUGUUCAAGUGUAUGGAUCUUUAUGAAAUUGUACUACAAGGUUCCAUAUCACAAAGGGAAAGCUGGGUUUGAGUUUGGGGGUAAUUGCCUAAAACGGUUAGGAAUAAGGGGCCAAAAAGGGCCAACAAUAAGCAUUUUUCUAGUUUCCAGACAAUAACUUGUGUUCAAGUGUAUGGAUCUCUCUGAAAUUGUACUGCAAGGUACCAUACCACAAAGGAAAGGCUGGGAUUGAUUUUGGGGGUAAUUGCCUCAAAAUGUUAGGAAUUAGGGGCCAAAAAGGGGCAAAAAACAAGCAUUUUUCUAGUUUCAGGACAAUAACUUGUGUGUAAGUGUAUGGAUCUUUAUGAAAUUGUACUGCAAGGUACCAUACCACAAAGGAAAGGCUGGGAUUGAUUUUGGGGGUAAUUGC